UUCCUGAGCAUCGCUUGUUGCAAACAGUGUCGCAAGGGAGAGGCCUGGGAACACGAGCCUGUGUUUGCUCCCGGCAGUCAGCUGGGCAGGAGGGCGGCCAGUCCCGGCCAGGAGCUGGUGCUGCGGCUGGGCCCUGUGCAAGAGAGGCGGGCCGACCUCGGCGGCAUCCGGUCUGCACUCCUUCCGUGGCCUGCGGCUCUUCUCAGAAAAACACCCACAGGCACCAGCACCAUGGGCUGCACACAAUUUUACACUCCCUCCCAACAAGCCCGUCUGCGGGCCCCUGGGGGUUAAGACGCUUCAUUUUACAGGAUGGAGAAACGAGGCUGAGACAGACUUGUCCAAGUCCCCCCAGCGUGUCAGGCGCUGGGCAAGGACUAAAGGCCAGAUGUCUGCGUGCACACAGUCAGCACUUGUCGAGCGCUUACUACCAACCAGGCACUGCGCAAGAAAGAAGCGGAUGCCAUAGCAACCGCCCAAACAGCACUCCUUAAGCCGGUCCAAAGAGACGCAGAGCCCGGGUGGCCAGCCGGGCCCCUCCCCCGCUUCACAUCAGCAGAGCGGGAGAUUUCAUGCCACGGCCUGCAGCGAGGACCCAGGGGCCAGCGUCAAUAUUUGCAUCUCCCAGCUCCCUGGCUCCGGCUCCGUCGGUACUCUAAGUAUGACAGGUUCUUUACUGUGCAAACACACAGGGACAGAUGAAGGGGAUUUAAAGUGGCUCAGGCUUCGCCCCAGGGUUUGGACUGGAAAUCUGACCUGCUUAACCCUCUGCCGUCACUGUUUGCUGGCCCUCUCUGUUCAUCCUUAGACUCAUGGAACCGCAGAUGUCAGAGCAGGACUCCAGAGGUUCAAAGUUAAAUUUAACACUUAAAAAGGCAGUAGGCAGAAUCUCAAGACCAGAAAAAAAUCUGCAAGCUGACUCUGCAAGACUCGUCAAGAAGCCAAAUGUCACAAGCACCUCCAUGGCUGGGAAAGCUAACUGCUUUAACACUCCCCAUGCUUUCUCAUUCUCCUGUAUUUCUCUUCUGUCUGGGGUCUUCAGGGGACCAUCCAUUUCCUUGCCACUUUCAGCAUCUGGAGGCCACCUGUAUUCCUUGGCUCAUCUCCCCUUCAAGGCAUCACUCCAACCUCUUGUGUCCAUCGUCACGUCUCCUGCUAUUGACUGAUCCUCCUGCCUCCCUCUUAGAAGGACCCUUGUGAUUACACUGGGACCAUCUGGAUGAUUCAGGAUAAUCUCUCUAUCUCAAGAUCUUUAAUUUAAUCACACCCGCAAAGUCUCUGUUACCAUGUAAGGUAACGUGUUCACAGGUUCUAGGAGCUCUGAUCUGGACCUCUUUGGGGGGCCGUUAUUCAGCCUACCACACUGGGUAAUGGGUAC